UACAGAGGGGGCAAGCGUUGUUCGGAAUUACUGGGCGUAAAGGGCGCGUAGGCGGCCUUCUAAGUCGAACGUGAAAUCCCUGGGCUCAACCCAGGAACUGCGUCCGAUACUGAAAGGCUUGAAUCCGGGAGAGGGAUGCGGAAUUCCAGGUGUAGCGGUGAAAUGCGUAGAUAUCUGGAGGAACACCGGUGGCGAAGGCGGCAUCCUGGACCAACACGUGACGCUGAGGAGCGAAAGCCAGGGGACGCAAAGCGGG
rnacentral:rRNA from 1 species